GGUGUGACCAGCGCCAGAGUCCCACCUCCUCUGCUAGGUACCCAGCCUGAGCUGACACAUGCCAUCCUAGAGAGAAGUGAGAGGGUAUCAUGUCCAUUCAUUCCCUGGCAGCCCAGGCCUGUCUUGCUGACCCAGUUGGAGGAGCGGCACACUUGGCCCAAUCUUAGGGCCAGAAGCUGGUGUCUUGGGCUGAGAAUGGAAAGCAGGGUCCACUUCUGAGUGGCAAUGACUCUAGCUAAGGAAACUGGACCCGGUGAUUAUAAAAACAGGAAAAGACUCCAAGCUAGGAAAUGCUAUUUGGAAUAUGGGGAACCCCAUCACCUAAUAGAACAAUCCUGUUCCUAAACAAGAGGAGAUGUUGGUCCAAGUCCUAGGCCACAUAGGUCACAAUUGUUUUUUUACCUUCAGUAGCUUUUAUACUCACGUUAAAGUUAGCGCUUUCAUAUUUCGGCCAUUCAAAGAGCUCAGUGCCUCUUCCUCUGAGUUUCUGCAAACUAUGCACAGCAUCUCAGAGGGUGGCAUACAAAACUAUUUUUCUAACUAUAGCACAGGAAGUUUGGGGUGGGGGAGGCUUGGGAUAUACCUACAUGUAGCCAACGACUUAUUUUCCCACCUUGAGGGAUGAAAGGGAGACUGUAUACCUGAGUUUAAUUCGCCAUUGGAUCUCUUGUACCAGAAAAAACACAUAUCAAAUAUCCAAGAAGUAAAAUUGAUCACUAGCUUAAUCUGGGGACUCACUAUAAGGAAGGGUCACUUUGACUAGAACACAGAUACCUACAAAUACAAUGUGAGCUGAUUUCUUGGCAACCUUUAAAAUGUUCUGGGCAGCACAACUUCUAGGUCUGUACAGUUGAUGUAAGUAUAAUUAAGUAGUGAAAUUGUAUGGUAUAUACCUAUAUGCCAAUAGUGUAUACCUAUAUGUGCAGG
rnacentral:lncRNA from 1 species